GUGGGGAAUAUUGGACAAUGGGCGAAAGCCUGAUCCAGCAAUGCCGCGUGAGUGAUGAAGGCCUUAGGGUUGUAAAGCUCUUUUACCCGGGAUGAUAAUGACAGUACCGGGAGAAUAAGCCCCGGCUAACUCCGUGCCAGCAGCCGCGGUAAUACGGAGGGGGCUAGCGUUGUUCGGAAUUACUGGGCGUAAAGCGCACGUAGGCGGCCGAAUAAGUCAGAGGUGAAAGCCUGGGGCUCAACCCCAGAACUGCCUUUGAGACUGUAUGGCUAGAACGUCGGAGAGGUGAGUGGAAUUCCGAGUGUAGAGGUGAAAUUCGUAGAUAUUCGGAAGAACACCAGUGGCGAAGGCGGCUCACUGGACGACUGUUGACGCUGAGGUGCGAAAGCGUGGGGAGCAAACAGG
rnacentral:rRNA from 1 species